CACCAUCAUCCUUUCUAAAGAACUACUGACUCACAUUUUUCAGAGCCAGCCUCUUUAAAGUUGAGGCAGAGGAACAUAAUUUUUCUGCUCUGUUCAAAACUACUACCUAUAUGGGGAAUCAAGCCCAUGGCCUUGGUUUCACUAGCCAACUGAGCUAAUCCUCAUAUUAUUCUCCAGGGUCUGUGAACAAUGUGAUUACCUUUUUAUAGACGGGAAAAACUGGAGUAGAGAGUUUAAGUGGCUUGCAUUUCACUUGGCAGAGUCGGUGAGAUUGGAAUUCCACCAUUCCCUUGAUGUGCUAAAUGCUGGGCCUUAUGACUGACUGGUGGGAUGGAUUUAGUAAAUCAGUCUAUUCAUUUUCCCAGUUGAAGUAAACCAGUGUAGGCAGUGGUCCCAAUGUGUACAUAUGGGCUGCUGUCCUUUACAUUCAAAUAUGUCACUGAUUUCUGCAUGGACAUGUUGGAAAGGAUGAAUAUAGUCAAAAUCUGCAUACUAUACAAAGGUUUUAAACUUGACCCUUUGGUCUGCCUGCCAACAUUAUUUACAAAGCCUGGCUUUAAUUGGGUUUCUCUUUCAGAAAUUCUGUUCUCGGUCAUAUCACUCCUAAAAGCUUCAUUAUAAGCUAUGAGUAUCUGCACCUCGGUGUAAGCCAAGAUGACCAGUCCCUUCUAAGCUCUAAAUCUGUGAUCCUGUGUAUUAGGAAAGUAAAAUGACCCAGGCUGUGACCAAGGGUGGAUAUGUACUCUGAUCUCACACAUUGUCCUCAGCCUGGCCUUUCUGGCCAAACAUUUAAGGUGAAAUUUCCAUUGAAUUGGUAAAUGUGUGCCAGUGUUUCUCCAAGCUGCCACUGGAUGCUAGUUUCUGAUUCUUGGUCUCUUCUCAUGCAUUUCACUAUCAUCAUUCCUCAGCACAAACUUCCUCCUGAUCUCUUCCCUCUGCAUCCUACCUCAAACCCUGAGAAUUUAUGUUUAAUAGUUAAUGCAAUGAAUUUAAAUUUUGCUCAAAUAUUAGACUGUGCUCACCCCAUAUUCCUAUUGUAAAUUAGAAUGCAACCACAGGAUUUAUUCCUAUCCUUUACUUCAUCCUUAUAGUUUCUUCCCAUUAGAAAACUCGUUUGUGACAAAAAAAAACAAAAAACAAAAACAAAAAAAAAACAAAACGUAUUAUUCAAGUUAAAAAACACAUCGGCAGCGUCUGAAAUUGUGUCUCAUUCCAUACAUCUAGUCUGUCACCUCUUGUUCAGGAGACAGGAUGGAUGCUUCACAGUGCUUCUCUGAAAUCAAAUCCAUCAGCACUGAAGUCCUGGAGUAUGGUUCUCCUUUAUUGUCGUACUCAUAAACUCUUCUUGGCUCUGCUUGCCUUGCUCAGCUGAAGUUCCCAGAAGACAUCCCAGAUUUCCUCCUCAGAUUUUUAUCAUUUCUUACAGUUUAACUAAAUUCCAUCGCUUUCUCAUACCACAAUUUGUUCAGCCAUUUCCUAAUUGAUGAGUAUUUACUUUCCUUCUGAUUAUUUGUUCCUACAGAAAAAAGCUACUCUGUUGUUUCUUUUUUAAAUAUGUGAGACCUUUCCUUUCAAUACUAUUAUGUGUAAUAGUAGAAUUGCUGGAUGUAUUUAAUGACUUAUUUAAAAGUAUAAUUCCUAAUUAUUUUCUCAAGUGGUUAGACCAAUUUACAGCUUUACCAAUUGUUCAUUGGUGUCCCUCUCUUCCCAUAGUCCCUUCAGUAUCUACUGUAUACCUUUGUUGUCAUCUUUACCAAAUUGGUGGGUGUGAAGUAAAACCUCUGAUUUAUUUUAAUUUGCAUAUUUAUUAAUAAUUGUGAGUAAACUUUCAUAUAUUUAUUAAUCUCUUGUAUGUAUCUCUUACUUUGAAGACAGC
rnacentral:lncRNA from 1 species